CCGGCAGCAAAGUUCCGCAGGGUGGGGAAAGCGCCCUCGCGGCAGGAGGCUGGAAAGCUGACCGCCGGAGAGUGGAAGCCGGACCAGGUCCCGAGUUGUACUGUCCGUCCCGCGCAGCCACCUGGGCUCGGGCGCCUUCCCCCCGCGAGCAGGCGUUUCUGCGGCGGCUUUUCGGCGGGAGGGAUUCUGCUCCGGUUCGCUCACUUUCUGCGCCCGUCGGAGGCCGGUGGCAGCACAACACCGCGUCCUGGCCAAAGGACAAGUGGGUCUGGAGGGACUGGACGGAAAUGCACCCCAGGUAUGCAAGACACUUUAUCUGUAAUCAUCACGCCUAAAAUGAAUGACCCAACUCCAGCUUUCCCCUAGCCAGAGACGGCAGAAGGAGGUAUCUGGAAGUCUGCAUGAAAACAGGUUAAACACUGAAGCUGUUUCUAUGAAAAAUAAAGAAAUGCACAACGCAAA